UGAGCAACCUGCCCCUGACUCCGGAAUAACAGCUGGAAACAGCUGCUAAUACCGGAUACGACCUCCGAUGGCAUCAUCGGAGGUGGAAAGCUCCGGCGGUCAAGGAUGGGCUCGCGGCCUAUCAGCUUGUUGGUGAGGUAACGGCUCACCAAGGCUUCGACGGGUAGCCGGCCUGAGAGGGCGACCGGCCACACUGGGACUGAGAUACGGCCCAGACUCCUACGGGAGCAG
rnacentral:rRNA from 1 species